rnacentral:rRNA from 1 species
UACGGAGGGUGCAAGCGUUAAUCGGAAUUACUGGGCGUAAAGCGCGCGUAGGCGGCUGGAUAAGUCGAUUGUGAAAGCCUUGGGCUCAACCUGAGAAUUGCAGUCGAGACUGUUCGGCUAGAGUGUGGGAGGGGGUGGUGGAAUUCCCGGUGUAGCGGUGAAAUGCGUAGAUAUCGGGAGGAUCAUUUGUGGAGAAGGCGACCACCGGGAUCUACACUGACGCUGAGGUGCGAAAGCGUGGGUAGCAAACAGG